AGCUUAUUUUUAACCACUUCCCUUUUUUCUGUGCUUCUAAUAUGUAAAGCUGCUUUGAAACAAUUACCAAUUGUAAAAGCGCUAUAUAAAUAAAUUUGACUUGACUUGACUUGACUAGGAUGCUCAUACAGAAUCAUAUGUGAUAGUUAAUAUAGAAAAAAAUAACUAAAGAUGCCAUUCAAAAUGAAUUUGUGCUAAAUGUUUUGUCAUUACAACAGUGUUACUGUACAAAACACUAAAAUGAUAAAAUGUUGUAUUGUAGAGUCAGUGUUACUGGAUUGCUGCUGAAGGAGGGACUCGAGUUACUGCAUGAAUCACUGAAGGAUCCACACUGCACUAUGACCAUUGAAGGGAGGAAGUGCAGUAAACCCAUUGACCAAUGCAUAGAAGAGGACUGGAGUCAGAGCUGCAAUGAGAAAGUGAAGAUUCACUUCAAACCAAAGGCUGAACAUCUCUGCACCUGAAACUUCUGAAAUGAAUCUUCACUGUCAGUCUUGUGUUCACAUUGUUGAAUGUUGAAUGCGAUGGGUCUGUGCUGGUGACGUCACUCUCCAGUACCGUACAGUGGAUGGACGUUUCCUCAGUGCAGAGCUGGAGAGGCUUCAGUGUGAGUGAAUUGGUCCAGUGAUUGAUGUGACCGUGAUCUCAAGGAAACUGGAGGAGGCUCAUCUGCCUCAUUACGCCUGUUUAGCAGAGUCUGACCCCUCUCUCAAAGAUGCUGUGAAGGUCCUCAUCAAAAGAGAUGAAGGAAUAUCUUUACAGUCUGUAGAGUUGACCUGUCUGUGACACUGUCACACAAAAUGCAUGUUUUACUGCUCUAUUUAUUACAAUGAUUUUAUGUAUAAUAGAGUUUUAAUUGGUUUACAUGUGUUUUAGUCCAUUUUAUUCCUCUUAACAUUUUAAGUGUGUAUGUCUUUAAGAAAUGAAUGGUUGGCCUGUCAUGUGACCAGUCACAUGACAGGAAGCAGGAAAAACAUCUGUAUAAAGAGAGCAGCAUGGCAAACAAACAAGGACUCACGAACAGUCAACAACUCACCUGGAUUGUGGAGUUACCAAUUUUGUGGACUUACCUCUCCAGUCACAACCUUACAACUCUUGGAUUAUCACUACUGUGGACAUUUGUAUAUACACCGGUGGACACUCACAUUGGGACUUUAACAGCACACUAGGAUUCUUGGACUGUUUUAGGGUAUGGUACUUUAAACUGUAUGCUUUUAACAGACUGAGUUUUCCUGGUUUUAUUGUGGUGUUUUAAAGUUCCUGUGAAUAUUGUAAAUACACAAUUCUUAUUUAACUUUA